rnacentral:lncRNA from 10 species
ACUGGGCGCCCAGAGUAACCAACACCGAGACGAAUAGCGAGGGCUCGGGGAGAAAAAACGGAGGAUGGCAAACGGCAAAGCCAAGGGCACGAGGUAGCGCAGCGCGCACCCAGAGGCUCCUGGGACGGACACCACCCCACGCUCACGGGUCCUCUGGCGGUGUCCUUUGAGCUGCCGGGACGGCGCAAGGUGGCUGAGCGAAGCUUUUUGCUCGAAACCUGUUUAUGCACCCUCCUGCAAUCCCACCACCUGCCCAGGCCAAGUGAGCCCCUCUCCGCUACUGGUGUUUCAUAAUGCUGGGAGCUACUUUGAUUUCAUGCAUUGCCCUUCAGCUGCCAUGUUAUGAGGACACUUGGAGAAAGCUACAGGAGAGGAACUGAGGUCUCCUGCCAUCAGCCACUUGAGUGAGCAUGGGAGUGGAUUCUCCAAACUCCAGUUAAGACUUGAGAUGUCCACAGUGGCAGCCACUAGCUUGACUGCAACUUACGAGAGACCCUGAGCCAGAGGCACUCAGUUAAGUCAUACACAGUUUCCUGACCCGUAAAACCUGUGACACAAUGAAGGUUUGUUGUUUUGGGGGUAAUCCGUUAUUCAGCAAUAGAUAACGAAUACAGAAGGCUUGUAAUUGUAUAACCAACGUGAGUUUAUAAGCGGAUAUCUGACCUCAUUUGUUUUCUCCUGAAAAAGUUAUAGAAAAAUCACAAGACUGCAAGUCACUCUCUCUCUUUCUUUUGUGGGGAAUAAACAAGUAUAAUUACAAUUUCUAAACCUAUUGUUUUAUUCUCAAAUAUAAUUACAAUUUAAACAGGAUAUUGUAGAGCUCCAUCAUAGGGAUUAACACUAAUUAGAAUUAAAGAACGUUUUUGUGAAAGUCAGCUUUUUUUUUUUAAAUAAACACUCGUCCCUUGAUAAUGUAUUUCUUUUUCAUAAAAUUAAAAAAAAAAUGUGGGUUGUAGUAGGUGUAUAUAUUUAUGUGGUACAUGAGAUGUUUUGAUACAGGCAUGACGUGUAAUAAUCACAUCAUGGAAGAUGGCGUAUCCAUCCCCUCAAGCAUUUAUCCUUUGUGUUACAAACAAUCCAGUUACACUCUUUUUGUUAUUUAAAAAUGUACAAUUAAAUUAUUAUUGGCUAUAGUCACCCUGUUGUGCUAUCAAAUAUUAGGUCUUAUUCAUUCAUUUAACUAUUUUUUUGUACCUAUUUAUCAUCCCCAUCCCCGGUUCCCUCCCACCACCCACCCCACUACCCUUCCCGGCCUCUGGUAACCAUCCUUCUACUCUCUAGCUCCAUGAGCUCCAUUGUUUUGAUUUUUAGCUCCCACAAAUAAAUGAGAACAUGUAAUGUUUGCCUUUCUGUGCCUGACUUAUUUCACUUAACAUAAUGACCUCUAGUUCCCUCUAUGUUGUUGCAAAUGACAGGAUCUGAUAAUGUAUUUCUUAUAAACGUGUGUGUGUGUGUGUGUGCUUAAUUUAAUGCUUGACUAAGCCUUCGUUACUGGUGAAGGAGGGACGGGUGUCUUUCUGUGCAUCUCCAAAGUGGGCUAUAGGUUCAAAGUAGUGAGAAAAGACUUUUUGCCCUUAACAUUUACAUAUAGUUUACACAGUUUUCUAAAAAACCUGGUUGGCUACUUUCAGGCUACAAGAAUAAAAAUUUAAACGUUACUUUGAGUUUCCUUUUAUGGGUCAAAAAUCUCGCUAUGGCCCUAAGUUUUAAAUAUUUGACAAGCAAUUAUCAUAACAAACGGUUUCAGACAUUUUUGGCUUUCCCAGAGAUUGAAAGGUGAAAAUGUUCAUUUCUUUUGUUCGCAAUGAAGCAUUUCAUCUUAUUAUCACAAAUAUGACUAACACUGUUAUGGAUUUUUAUAAAUCAUGUCAUCUUAAAAAUUAAAGAACAUUACCACAAUAAAGGAGAAAAACACUCUUUUGAAGUGGCAUUUCAAAAGGCAAAUGAAUUAGUCAAUUUGAAAUGCAGUUUUUUCACAAGGUGUUAUCUUCCCAUCUUUAGAAUGGUUCCUUUAGCUUAUGGACUCCCACGCCCUUUCUCAUUACCAGUCAGUCAGUCAGUCACC